CUUGGUCAUUUAGAGGAAGUAAAAGUCGUAACAAGGUUUCCGUAGGUGAACCUGCGGAAGGAUCAUUAUCGAAUUAUAAGCGAGGGUUGUUGCUGGCCUCUUUCGAGGCACGUGCACGCCCGAGCUCUUAAAUCCACAACACACCUGUGAACCCACCGUAGGCCUUCGGGCUUAUGUAUCAUAUACUCUGAAUGUGUCAUAGAAUGUUCAUGUUGCCUUAAAACGCAAUCAAAUACAACUUUCAACAACGGAUCUCUUGGCUCUCGCAUCGAUGAAGAACGCAGCGAAAUGCGAUAAGUAAUGUGAAUUGCAGAUUUUCAGUGAAUCAUCGAAUCUUUGAACGCACCUUGCGCUCCUUGGUAUUCCGAGGAGCAUGCCUGUUUGAGUGUCAUUAAAUUCUCAACCCCACCGAUUUGUUUUGGGGGGAUUGGACUUGGAGCGUGCUGGCGAAGGUCGGCUCCUCUUUAAAUGCAUCAGUGGAGAGAAACUUGCCCCAGUGUGAUAAUCCUGUUGCGCUGUGGUGGGCGAAAGUCUGCUUACAACCGUCCUCCGGGACAUACGCCAUCUUUAUUUUGACCUCAAAUCAGGUAGGACUACCCGCUGAACUUAAGCAUAUCAAUAAGCGGAGGA
rnacentral:rRNA from 1 species